GCAUGUGCGCCUAACUGGCUGUUCAAAACGUCCUUCGGAGGAUUUCUGCUUUGAGACUCCAGCCCUGCAGGCAGCAUGCAGCCCCUCCACCACAUCCUGCCUCUCCACUUCCUCCCCUCCUUUCCCAACUCCGAAAGCCAAGAUGGGAAGUCUCUCACGACCCUGUGGCUUGGCGGGGAAGAGGCCUGAACUUGAUACAGCUGGCUUUUCUGGGGCCUGAUGGACAGCCCUGAAACAUCUUUCAUGCAACUCCUCAGGCAGCCCAGAAACAGCCAGGAACCAUUCGCCAGGAGCUGUGGCCAACUUAAUAACUCAUCCUUGUAUUGGUUUCCAUCCUCUGUCCUUCAUCCGUCUUGUCUUUUACUCCUACUUGCUGGAUCACACAUCCCAAUAAAUUUUUGCACUCAA